UAUAAAUUAACAUUGUUUUAAUAAUUUAAUAUAAAAUAUUGGUCUUGUAAAUCAAAAAUAAGUA
rnacentral:tRNA from 1 species